CCUACGGGCGGCAGCAGUGGGGAAUAUUGCACAAUGGGGGAAACCCUGAUGCAGCAACGCCGCGUGAAGGAUGAAGGUUUUCGGAUUGUAAACUUCUUUGAUGAGGGACGAAUAAUGACGGUACCUCAAAAACAAGCCACGGCUAACUACGUGCCAGCAGCCGCGGUAAUACGUAGGUGGCAAGCGUUGUCCGGAGUUACUGGGUGUAAAGGGCGUGUAGGCGGGAAGAUAAGUCAGAUGUGAAAUUCCAUGGCUCAACUGUGGCGCUGCAUCUGAAACUAUUUUUCUUGAGUGAUGGAGAGGAAAGCGGAAUUCCUAGUGUAGCGGUGAAAUGCGUAGAUAUUAGGAGGAACACCAGUGGCGAAGGCGGCUUUCUGGACAUUAACUGACGCUGAGGCGCGAAAGCGUGGGGAGCAAACAGGAUUAGAUACCCCGGUAGUCG
rnacentral:rRNA from 1 species